rnacentral:sRNA from 1 species
UACACAGCAUAUAUAGGUGAAUAGAAGGUCAUCCUAUUCAUUUAUUCAUGAGAGGUACAAUCUCCAGGGAUCUGUAAAAUCUAUUUUGUCUUAAUCAAAGAACAAAUUUUUGACAUAUCUUGAAUAGGAUGACUAUAAAUUAUGACUUUUAAAUUUUUGUAAUUUUUGUACUAUUAUCUGAUAUUUUUAUUUUUAUGUAUGUUCCUAAGUAGUUUAGAGAGUCAGAUUUUAAAAAUCUAAGAUCAAACAAAUGAAGCUUAUUUUUAUGUAUUCAUAGUAUAAAAGACCUUCAGUAAAUAGAUGAUAUUUUUGUUUUAUUCUAGAAAACAGCUACUUGAACACAGUGAGCUGGCUUUUCACACAUUGCAGUUGUUAGCAUUUACUGCCCUUGCCAUUUUAAUUAUGAGGCUAAAGAUGUUUUUGACACCACACAUGUGUGUUAUGGCUUCCUUGGUAUGCUCUCGACAGCUCUUUGGCUGGCUUUUUCGCAGAGCUCGUUUUGAGAAUGUUAUCUUUGGCAUUCUAACAGUGAUGUCAAUACAAGGUUAUGCAAACCUCCGUAAUCAAUGGAGCAUAAUAGGAGAAUUUAAUAAUUUGCCUCAGGAAGAACUUUUACAGUGGAUCAAAUACAAUACCACAUCAGAUGCUGUCUUCGCAGGUGCCAUGCCUACAAUGGCAAGCGUCAAGCUGUCUACACUUCAUCCCAUUGUGAAUCAUCCACACUACGAAGAUGCAGACUUGAGGGCUCGGACAAAAAUAGUUUAUUCUACAUAUAGUCGAAAAUCUGCCAAAGAAGUAAGGGAUAAAUUGUUGGAGUUACAUGUGAAUUAUUAUGUUUUAGAAGAGGCAUGGUGUGUUGUGAGAACUAAGCCUGGUUGCAGUAUGCUUGAAAUCUGGGAUGUGGAAGACCCUUCCAAUGCAGCUAAUCCUCCUUUAUGUAGCGUCCUGCUCGAAGAUGCAAGGCCUUACUUCACCACAGUAUUUCAGAAUAGUGUGUACAGAGUACUGAAGGUUAACUGAGAAGGAAACUACCCAUUACACUAUGGCACAAUGCCGUGUGUCAAAAACAAUCACCCUUUGGCUUAUUUACAUUAAUAAAAAUCACAAACUUUAAUAACAGACAGUUAAAAAUAAGAUAAAAAUGGAUUGAAAGUUUUUCUGAUUACUAAAAGGUAAAUUACUUUUCUGUUCAUUGAAUAUCAGCCUUAUUAAGCUUGUCAUAUAAAUUAUUAAAUCAUUCAUGUCAUACUACAUAAACAAAUGUUCAUUUCAGAAUUUUAAAGAGAAAUGUAUAUAAAAGAACAAUGAAUUUUAAUAAAUCAAGGGUACUUAAGUC